rnacentral:pre_miRNA from 14 species
UAUCACUUGCUGGAGAAGCAGGGCACGUGCGAACAAAUGAGUUUGAGCAGUACAUUUUGAUCAAAUAUUCGCACGUGUUCUACUACUCCAACACGUGUAU